rnacentral:rRNA from 1 species
AGAGUUUGAUUCUGGCUCAGGAUGAACGCUAGCGGCAGGCCUAAUACAUGCAAGUCGAACGGUAAAUCCCCCUCGGGGGGAUGAGAGUGGCGGACGGGUGCGUAACGCGUAUGCAACCAACCCCCGACGGGCGGACAGCCGGUGGAAACGCCGGAUAACACGCCAUGCGGCCACCUGGGGGCAUCCCUCGGUGGCCAAAGCCUCGGCGGUCGGGGACGGGCAUGCGUCCCAUUAGAUAGUAGGCGGGGCGACGGCCCACCUAGUCGACGAUGGGUAGGGGAUCUGAGAGGACGGUCCCCCACACUGGUACUGAGACACGGACCAGACUCCUGCGGGAGGCAGCAGUAAGGGAUAUUGGGCAAUGGGGGCAACCCUGACCCAGCCAUGCCGCGUGAGGGAAUGAGGCCCUACGGGUCGUGAACCUCUUUUGUCCAGGGACAAGGACGGCGUCGGGAACGCCGUUUGAGGGUACUGGAAGAAUAAGCAUCGGCUAACUCCGUGCCAGCAGCAGC